CUUUGAUUAAUCAAGGUGUGCAGAGUUGAUUCAAAAGGAAAGAUUUUUUAUUUAUUUGAAAACAAACACAAUAUCAUAAUUGGUUUUAAUUUAGAACCCCAACUAUGGUUAUCUUACCACGUAAAGGUAUUCCUAGGAGCAAGAAAGUCCAAACUGUGCAUUAAAAGUGAAUUUAAAAAACCGGUUAUAUGGUGAGAUUUGCGGAUUCUUUCGAAAUAUUUCGUUUAUUGGGUUUUUUCCAGAGCAUAAACUAUAGGGUUUCCUUUCAAAACAUUAGACAGAGAGGGGGAAACUUUAGUGUUUGGAGCAUUGUUUAUCUUAAAGGCUUGAUCUUGAUAUUCAAUGUGUGCAUUUUUAAAUCUAAGGAUCAAUGCUGGAUCUCUCAAUUAAUUUAACCCUGUAGGGUGUUAUAACCACUUCCUGAUUUCGAAGAGUGAUCAAAUUAAUUAAUAUGUACGUCUACGUAAAGUGGAGAUUAAUGGGUAUUGUUUUGUUGCAGAGAUUAAAGUUCUGACGUUAAACUAUAAUUUCUAUAUUUUUUUGUCUUCAGAAUUAUCAAAAUGCCGAGCACCUCAGAUUCGUCAAGGACGAGCAGUGAAAGCUCUGAUAUUGAUCCUGAAAGUGAUUUGGAGAAAACAGAAAAUAAACAUAUUGUCAAGAAUAUUCAUGAUCAAGAUCAUGAUCCUUCAGCAGAAGAUGAACUGAUCGCUAGGGUUCAGGAUAUGCUAGAAAGGAGCAGGAAACCAAAAAGAGGAAAAGUGUCUAAACCCUGCAAAAAGGAUAGAAGGGCUAAACUUAGAGAGGAAUUGCAGAAACUGCUAGCUAGGGAGAAGGUUCAGACUGAGGAAAUGAGCUAUCCAGUUGGUUCUACGUCUUCGGCCAGGGAUACCAGGACAGUACUGUACAUAGAUCAGGGUGACACAGAGAUAGUUGCUCCGGAUACAGUUCAUUCUUCUCCAGACACCAGGUAUGAGAAUAGGUUUGUGGGACAGGAUCGAGGCUCUGGAAAGGAAAACCUCUUUACAUCAUCAUCAUACCAACGACACCAUGACAAGGACUUCCGUUCCCAAGGGGGAUCAGCUCUUCGCUCGGAUAAAGAUCGUCGAUAUGAUCGUCAAGAUGAUCGGCAACAAGAUCGUCAACAGGAUCAUCAGCAUGAACGACCACUUGGCUUUGGAGAUCUUUGUAGAUUUUUCCAGAAGGAGCUUAAACUUGAUUUUGAUGAUAACACUGCUAAUAAGUGUGCUACAACGAUGAUUGACUGCUGGAAGAAGAACAAGUAUCUCUACUCGGACCUAGAGGAGAUGUAUCUCGUGAACAUGAGGGACACCCACGACAGGGAGCUCUUGGCCAGGGAGCUGGGGAAGACAAUCGGAGACAAUAGGGAUGGAUUUCCUCAAGGUGUUUCAUGCCCUCGUCUGGUAAACCUGACAAUUAAAUUCUUCAACACUGAACCUAGGGUAGUUGACAAGCUUAGGAGGAUUCAGGAGCAGGAACACAAGAUUGAAAGUGGAAGUAUGAAUGCCAAUGAAGAAAUAAGGAUUCGGAAGAACAGCAAGUAUGCUGGAUUACGUCCUGUCACCUCCUGUUUGGAUUCUAUCCUUGAAAGAGCUGGACUUAAUAAAACCAGGUGUAUGGUUGUAUCUGGAGAUAUCACGGAGAGGUUUGUUACUGCUGGAUACGGUUGGGAUAGAGUGCUCCAGUAUCAUUCUAAGGGCCAGGAUAAGUUUAAGAAGAAAUUGAUUCCCUUCGUUUAUAUGUCCAAAGACGAUUUCCCGAUUGGUAUGGACACAGAAGGUGUACUCAACCAACUCUAUGGUUUUAUUAACACGUGGAAACUAAAACUAUUUGACGCGCUCACUUCUGGGAAACUUCCUGAUGAGGAAAUGCCCCCUGCUGAUCUGAGAAGUGCAUUGGAGCUUGAUACAAAGAGACCACCCUCAAACCACACGUCUUCAAGCCGCUCCAAACCUGUUUUUACAAGCCAUGAUGAUGAUGUUUCCCUACCUAAAGACUACUUGAAGAAAUCAAGUUCCAAAUCCAUCUGUGAGCUUGAACGUAUCCGACCUCGACCCGGCUUUGAUGAGGAUCAUGAACCAUAUCGGCUCCGUAAGAAUGUUGCAUUAGAUGAACCUGGAUAUGUAUCAGGGUAUAGCGAAGAUGAUUAUCCGUCCCGUCUCUCCAGAAUUGACUAUGAUAGAAAAAAGACCGUCAAAGAGCAUUUGAACAAAGGAUAUCCCGGCAAAGAUUGGAGAAAGGAAGAACAGUCAGGUAAAGAGAUGUAUUCCAGUUAUGAUGAAGAUAUAAGAGACUUUGACUCCCGAGACAACAGAAAACAGUUGAGAGAUAUUGAUGCUAGGACGGAGAAGGUUCCAUGCACACAUUUCGCUGCUAGGGAGGUCAAGGAGAAGGACGGAUAUGUUUCUGUUGAGGAUUCUGACGGUAAAACAACUUUUUAUCACUAUACAGAACCAGGGGCUCGGUCAUUAAGCCAUGAUAGGAAAUCAUCGCCCAGAGGAUCAUCAGUAGAUUCUUUAGGUUUAAUUGAUAGAAAAAGAAAACUGUCUGAACAUGAUUUUGAUCUAGAAAAACAGGAAUCAUUUGAGAGACCAGUGUCAUCAAAGAAAAAAAUGAAAUCUACUGAAGGUGCUCCCGUUGAGCCACCUAAGGAGAAAGCUUCAAAAAGAAAAAAGAAAGAGAAGGAGAAGGAAAAAGAAAAGAAGAAGAAACCAUCUGUCUUGGAACAAGUUAGUGAAAUUCUAAAAUCCUGCAGUGGUCUUCAGCUGACAACUCCAAAAUCAAUAAAGGUUUCCGAUCCCAAACCUGGAAAAAAAGAGGCAAAGGAGCAUGUGAAAGAAGCUGCUGUGUGGAAACCAGAUAUAAAACAUGAAAUCAAGCUGAAUAAGGAAUUGUAUGAUGACAACGACGAUGAUGAAGAAAAUGAUGAUGAUGUAAAGAUUGAGAAAUCUCUUGAAGACGGAGAGAUUCACGGCACUGAUGCAGAAGAUACUGUUAAUGAGAUUGAUGAUGGUGUAUUUGAAGAACCAGACAAGAAUGAAAAUAAACGAAAGGUUGUUAUGGUAGACAAGGUUAUUGAAGACAAGGAUGAUGAUGAUUUAUUAAGUAAAAUACCCCGGGGGUACAGGAUUAGGUCUCUAACUAGAUCCAAGUCUAAAUCUAAAACUCCGAAAUCUAUUUCUAAAUCACCAGCACUAAAACUGCGAAAGCUAUCACGGUCUAGAACUGCAUCACCCCUGGCUAACAUCAGGCCCAAAUCAAGAUCAAAAUCAAGAUCAAGAUCAAAAUCAAGAUUUAGAUCAAGAUCAAGAACAAGAUCAUGGUCUAGAAACAGAUCAAGGUCUGUUACUCCACGAAGCCGGCGUAGUACCCGAUCCCGGAGUCCUAAAGUUAAACGGUAUCCAUACAAGCCAAGCUAUAGAGGGGAAUAUAAGUCAAACUACAACCGACAUUCUAGGUCUAGGUCUAGAUCUCCUCCUCGACACCCAACCUGGAUACCCGUCAGUCCUUGUGCUGUCACGGAAAGUAUAGAACUUGAACCCUUGAGCACAAUGCUGGUUAAGAUCUCUGCCAAGGAAGAGUUCAGAUAUAGAGAAAAUGAGGGAUGCAUGGUCCGUGUUACAAAAUGGACUGGGAGAGACUCAAUCCCUGGGAUUCAAAUUCGACCCCAGAUAGUCACUCUUGAUGACGAAUCAUCAAUGGAGAUUGAGAUUAGAAACCCAUUCGCCGAUAAAGCCUUAUUUUUACAGAGGCAGGAUAAAGUUGCGUGUCUCUCCGUUCUCUCCGGACCAGCUAAGCCUGGCUUCUUUAAUAGGGACGUUUCUCCGGAGUCAUUUGAAACCCGGGAUAAACGCUGGUUCCGUGUAUCAUCUGUAGUUCUACACCGUAAAGGUACAGAUCAUCAAUCCUGUAUCAAGAUGUGUUUUCUUUUAUUAUAUGUUGCUUAUUAUUUGAAAAUUAUCAACAUGUUCAGGAACACUUGAUCGUAUAACAAUACAUCCUGGCAGAUCUAUGAAGGUUAUUGCAACUAUAACAGGACCUAUAAAGAAAUAUGCAGGUAAAGAGAUCUUGAU
rnacentral:misc_RNA from 1 species